GGGCUCUCCUCCACAGUGAGUCUACUUCACCACCCAGCUGGGAUCUCAGUGCUUUCUUUUCUGUCCUCCUCCAGGAUGGGCUCAACCGUCAUCCUUUCCCUCGUCCUGGCUGUUCUCCAAGGAGUCUUUGCCGAGGUGCAGCUGGUGCAGUCUGCAGCAGAGGUGAAAAGGCCCGGGGAGUCUCUGAGGAUCUCCUGUAAGGGUUCUGGAUACAGCUUUACCAGCUACUGGAUCCACUGGGUGCGCCAGAUGCCCGGGAAAGAACUGGAGUGGAUGGGGAGCAUCUAUCCUGGGAACUCUGAUACCAGAUACAGCCCAUCCUUCCAAGGCCAUGUCACCAUCUCAGCCGACAAGUCCAUCAGCACCGCCUACCUGCAGUGGAACAGCCUAAAGGCCACGGACACCGCCAUGUAUUAUUGUGUGAGAGUCCGGGGAGGAAACACUGGCUGUUUGUGUCCUCAGGAGCAAGAACCAGAGAACAACAUGGGAGGGUUCCCAGCCCCUAAGGCAACUGGAUGGGAGACCUGACCCAUCCAGUUCUCUGACGGGGCUCUUGUGUGUUCUACAAGGUUGUUCAUGGUGUGUAUUACAUGGUUAACAUCAAAAGGCUGCCCAAUAGGCACCUCUUCAGUAUGAUAGUCUUUUAAUUAGUGAAAAUUUUACACAGUUCAUCAUUGCUCGCUUGCCUUCCUCCCUCCUAUCCACUCUUACUCCCUCUUUCUUUUAUUUUCUACUUACUUUUCCAAAAUCAUUUAAUCCAUUUUUGUACUGUUAAUAGGUUAUCUUGUUUUUGUUAUUGUUUUCCUUUUAAAAAUAUGCACUGAAUAAUUCAUCUUUGUGCCAAUUUGUAAGUAUUUUGAUAUAACAAAGACUUCCUUCAUAAAUAGAUUUCCUGUGAGUAAUCUUGCAAAUAUUUUAGAACCUGUUUGGUUAAGGAUAAAUUUAAAAAAAUAGAUAAAUUUUUAAAGACAUACAACCUAUCAAAACUGAACCACCAAGAAAUAAAAAAUCUGGGCUGGG